UACGGAGGGGGCUAGCGUUGUUCGGAAUUACUGGGCGUAAAGCGCGCGUAGGCGGACCUGCAAGUCGGGGGGUGAAAGCCCGAGGCUCAACCUCGGAACUGCCUUCGAUACUGCGGGUCUCGAGUCCGGGAGAGGUGAGUGGAAUUCCUAGUGUAGAGGUGAAAUUCGUAGAUAUUAGGAAGAACACCAGUGGCGAAGGCGGCUCACUGGCCCGGUACUGACGCUGAGGUGCGAAAGGCGUGGGGAGCAAACAGG
rnacentral:rRNA from 1 species